UACGUAGGGUGCGAGCGUUAAUCGGAAUUACUGGGCGUAAAGCGUGCGCAGGCGGCUUUGCAAGACAGAUGUGAAAUCCCCGGGCUCAACCUGGGAACUGCAUUUGUGACUGCAAGGCUAGAGUACGGCAGAGGUGGAUGGAAUUCCGCGUGUAGCAGUGAAAUGCGUAGAUAUGCGGAGGAACACCAAUGGCGAAGGCAAUCCCCUGGGCCUGUACUGACGCUCAUGCACGAAAGCGUGGGGAGCAAACAGG
rnacentral:rRNA from 1 species